GACGAACGCUGGCUGCGUGCUUAACACAUGCCAGUCGAACGGAAAGGCCCUGCUUUUGUGGGGUGCUCGAGUGGCGAACGGGUGAGUAACACGUGAGUAACCUGCCCUUGACUUUGGGAUAACUUCAGGAAACUGGGGCUAAUACCGGAUAGGAGCUCCUGCUGCAUGGUGGGGGUUGGAAAGUUUCGGCGGUUGGGGAUGGACUCGCGGCUUAUCAGCUUGUUGGUGGGGUAGUGGCUUACCAAGGCUUUGACGGGUAGCCGGCCUGAGAGGGUGACCGGCCACAUUGGGACUGAGAUACGGCCCAGACUCCUACGGGAGGCAGCAGUGGGGAAUAUUGCACAAUGGGCGGAAGCCUGAUGCAGCAACGCCGCGUGCGGGAUGACGGCCUUCGGGUUGUAAACCGCUUUCGCCUGUGACGAGGCGUGAGUGACGGUAAUGGGUAAAGAAGCACCGGCUAACUACGUG
rnacentral:rRNA from 1 species